rnacentral:rRNA from 1 species
UAGGGAAUAUUAGUAAUGGGCGAAAGCCUGAUGCAGCAACGCCGCGUGAGUGAUGAAGGCCUUCGGGUUGUAAAGCUCUGUCUUUUGGGACGAUAAUGACGGUACCAAAGGAGGAAGCCACGGCUAACUACGUGCCAGCAGCCGCGGUAAUACGUAGGUGGCGAGCGUUGUCCGGAUUUACUGGGCGUAAAGGAUGCGUAGGCGGAUAUUUAAGUGAGAUGUGAAAUACCCGGGCUUAACUUGGGUGCUGCAUUUCAAACUGGAUAUCUAGAGUGCGGGAGAGGAGAAUGGAAUUCCUAGUGUAGCGGUGAAAUGCGUAGAGAUUAGGAAGAACACCAGUGGCGAAGGCGAUUCUCUGGACCGUAACUGACGCUGAGGCAUGAAAGCGUGGGUAGCAAACAG